rnacentral:lncRNA from 1 species
GGGUAUCGGUUUGCUCCAACAGACUAGUUUAACCAGGCCACAUUCAGUAUAUGUCUUUCCCAAGUCAGGAGCCUGUAAUUCAUUGGUAAUUGUGUGUUGUAUCAUACAAUUUUGUUUGUUUUAUUAUUUUGUACAUUGAUCAGGCUGUAAGUUUUCUCUUUUAAAUUGUUUAACAUUAGCCAUUUUGAUGUCUUUUUAUAGCUUAAUAUGCAGUUUGGGUUUUGCUCCAUGUUGAAGUCUUGACAGUAACCUUUGGUUGCUUACUUCUAAAUCAAUGGGUCUCUAAUAAAGAGUUGUCUCAUUUGAAAUCAUACCACAUCUUCUUAUAUUUAAAAAAAAACACCAGUAUAUAACACUGCUGUUGCCAUAACUUUUGUCUCAAAUUCAGUGACAUUUACUGCAGUUGGAAUAUAAUGAUACAAAUAUUCCUAACAAUCUAAUCAUUUAUUUACAAAAAUAAAACAUCAGGAGGUACAAUCUUCAGAAUAAAGAAUAAAAUAGUAAAUUUACCAAAAGUAUUGUAAGUCUUCAAAAUCUAAUGUUAAAUUUUUGAUAAAAGUGGUGAGUUAUCACUGGAAUUUGAAAUUUUUAAUUCUAAAAUAUGUCACCAUUUUAAUAAAACCUAUGAGUCUGCCUAUUAUAAUUUGGAGUAUUUAAAAAAAAUCCAGAGAAUUGAGGACUUUGUUUUUUUCUUAAAUUAACCAUCAAUUAAGUUAAUAAAAACAUUCAGUGAAUUUUCUUUCUUAAAGUGACUUUUACCUCCUCACAUUGUUCCUAGUAUCUUCCUAACAUUUGAGUGUCUUAAAAAAACAAUGGACUUUCUCACUACGGUAGGGUAUUCUUUUAUAGUAGAAGUCAAUGCAUAAUUAUGUUAAAUAUGGACUAAAAAAAUCUGUUUACGUUGCCAAAAGUGAAAGCCAUUUAAACAAAGUGGUAUUCAGCUUAAAUAGAUCAAAGGUUCCUUAUUCUCAUUACAUCCAAAAGGUGUCCACCAUACAUACUUGUUUUAUAUGCAUUCUCUUGAAGAAAAAAAAACUAUUUUUGAUAUGCAGAAAUUUUUAAAAAAAUAUAUAUACAUGGUUUUCAAACUGUUCCCAAAUUUUGAAGCAAAGUACCAAAAAAAUAUCAGGCAGAAAUAAUUUUUUUGGAAAAGUAAAAGAAAAAGAAAAAAUUCCUGAAAUGACAAAAACCAAUGAAGACAAUGACAGCUGGACUUUUACACUAUUUACAAUGAGUGCACAGCAUUAUCACAAAAACACUUUCAUCACAAAACAAAAAAAAUCCUAUAAUCUUAUAACAUUAAAAAAGACAGCUUGUGUAAAUCUGUUUAGGUCUAUUUAGAUGGUGAUUUUACACAAGUUUCAUUAGCUGAAACUGUUAAUUAUUUACAACUGUCUAAAUGGAUCUUUUUUUGUUACCUUACAAUUACAUUUCUAGACCAUAUAAACCAAAACUGAAUAAUAUAUAAAAUAAAAACUUGUGACAAUAUGGAUGAUUUGUACCAUCAUAUCCUACUGAUGUUUUUCAUCCAUUGAAAGAACAGGUAGUUAACCUCAAUGAUAUGAUAAUUAUUGUGGUACCAAGCAUGUAGAUAGAAACCAUUGAGAAUGGAUUAAUAUCACAAAUAGGUACGUAGUAGAUUAUAACCAAGUUAGUGAAAAACUCUGCGAGCUACUAAUAUCCAAAAAAUCAUGGAGAAAUCACAUGUUAAAAUAACUUUGUAACUUAU